UUUUUAGAGAGUUUGAUCCUGGCUCAGGACGAACGCUGGCGGCGUGCCUAACACAUGCAAGUCGAACGGAGUUUUGUCUGACACCGGCAGCUUGGCCCAAGAGGGCUGAGCAGCGGGUGUUGGACGAAACUUAGUGGCGGACGGGUGAGUAACGCGUGAGCAAUCUGCCUCUGUGAGGGGGAUAACAUACCGAAAGGUAUGCUAAUACCGCAUAAAAUCAAAGGAGGACAUCCUCCAAUGAUCAAAGGAGCAAUUCGCUUGAAGAUGAGCUCGCGUCCAAUUAGGUAGUUGGUGAGAUAACAGCCCACCAAGCCUGCGAUUGGUAGCCGGACUGAGAGGUCGAACGGCCACAUUGGGACUGAGACACGGCCCAGACUCCUACGGGAGGCAGCAGUGGGGGAUAUUGCUCAAUGGAGGAAACUCUGAAGCAGCAACGCCGCGUGAAGGAAGAAGGUCGUCGGAUUGUAAACUUUUGUCUUCUGG
rnacentral:rRNA from 1 species